rnacentral:rRNA from 1 species
GGACGCAAGUCUGAUGGAGCAACGCCGCGUGAGUGAAGAAGGCUUUCGGGUCGUAAAACUCUGUUGUUGGAGAAGAAUGGUCGGCAGAGUAACUGUUGUCGGCGUGACGGUAUCCAACCAGAAAGCCACGGCUAACUACGUGCCAGCAGCCGCGGUAAUACGUAGGUGGCAAGCGUUAUCCGGAUUUAUUGGGCGUAAAGCGAGCGCAGGCGGUUUUUUAAGUCUGAUGUGAAAGCCCUCGGCUUAACCGAGGAAGCGCAUCGGAAACUGGGAAACUUGAGUGCAGAAGAGGACAGUGGAACUCCAUGUGUAGCGGUGAAAUGCGUAGAUAUAUGGAAGAACACC